AUAUAUAAUAUAUAUUAUACAUAUAUGCAGAUCAGAAUGGACCCUGAGGUCCAUAUAUAAUAUAUAUUAUACAUAUAUACAGAUCAGAAUGGACCCUGAGGUGGUCAGUUAUAGUCAGAUAUGCCAGCAGGAACUCAUGUUUACAUGAUACAUAUAUACAGAUCAGAAUGGACCCUGAGGUGGUCGGUUAUAGUCAGAUAUGCCAGCAGGAACUCGUGUUUACAUGAUACAUAUAUACAGAUCAGAAUGGACCCUGAGGAGGUCGGUUACAGUCAGAUAUGCCAGCAGGAACUCGUGUUUACAUGAUACUUAUAUACAGAUCGGAAUGAACCCUGAGGUGGUCAGUUAUAGUCAGAUAUGCCAGUAGGAAAUCAUGUUUACAUGAUACAUAUAUACAGAUCGGAAUGGACCCUGAGGUGGUCGGUUACAGUCAGAUAUGCCAGUAGGAAGUCGUGUUUACAUGAUACAUAUAUACAGAUCAGAAUGGACCCUGAGGUGGUCGGUUACAGUCAGAUAUGCCAGUAGGAAGUCGUGUUUACAUGAUACAUAUAUACAGAUCAGAAUGGACCCUGAGGUGGUCAGUUAUAGUCAGAUAUGCCAGCAGGAACUCAUGUUUACAUAAUACAUAUAUACAGAUAGGUUAAAUAUAUACACACACACGUGCGUGUGCAUACAUGGC
rnacentral:lncRNA from 1 species